GCGCGAGUGGCGGAAUUGGCAGACGCGCUGGGUUUAGGUCCCAGUGCCCUCACGGGUGUGCGGGUUCAAGUCCCGCCUCGCGCA
rnacentral:tRNA from 1 species